rnacentral:rRNA from 1 species
AUUGAACGCUAACGGCAUGCUUAACACAUGCAAGUCGAACGGCAGCACAGCAGUAGCAAUACUGUGGGUGGCGAGUGGCGGACGGGUGAGUAAUGUAUAGGAAUCUGCCUUGUAGUGGGGGAUAACCUGGGGAAACUCGGGCUAAUACCGCAUAAUCUUUACGAAGCAAAGCGGGGGAUCGUAAGACCUUGCGAUAUAAGAUGAGCCUAUAUUGGAUUAGCUAGUUGGUGGGGUAAAGGCCUACCAAGGCGACGAUCCAUAGCUGGUCUGAGAGGAUGAUCAGCCACACUGGGACUGAGACACGGCCCAGACUCCUACGGGAGGCAGCAGUGGGGAAUAUUGGACAAUGGGGGAAACCCUGAUCCAGCAAUGCCGUGUGUGCGAAGAAGGCCUUCGGGUUGUAAAGCACUUUUAGUGGGAAAGAAAAGCUCAAAGCUAAUAACUUUGAGCCUUGACGUUACCCACAGAAAAAGCACUGGCUAACUCUGUGCCAGCCGCCGCGGUAA